UACGGGGGGGGCAAGCGUUGUUCGGAAUUACUGGGCGUAAAGGGCUCGUAGGUGGCCAACUAAGUCGGACGUGAAAUCCCUCGGCUUAACCGGGGAACUGCGUCCGAUACUGGUUGGCUUGAGUUUGGGAGAGGGAUGCGGAAUUCCAGGUGUAGCGGUGAAAUGCGUAGAUAUCUGGAGGAACACCGGUGGCGAAGGCGGCAUCCUGGACCGGCAUUGACGCUGAGGCGCGAAAGCGUGGGGAGCAAACAGG
rnacentral:rRNA from 1 species